rnacentral:rRNA from 1 species
CCUACGGGGGGCAGCAGUGGGGAAUAUUGGACAAUGGGGGGAACCCUGAUCCAGCGACGCCGCGUGAGUGAAGAAGUAUUUCGGUAUGUAAAGCUCUAUCAGCAGGGAAGAAAAUGACGGUACCUGACUAAGAAGCCCCGGCUAACUACGUGCCAGCAGCCGCGGGAAUACGUAGGGGGCAAGCGUUAUCCGGAUUUACUGGGUGUAAGGGGAGCGUAGACGGUGCAGCAAGUCUGAUGUGAAAGGUCAGGGCUCAACCCCGGAACUGCAUUGGAAACUGUUGAGCUGGAGUGCAGGAGAGGUAAGCGGAAUUCCUAGUGUAGCGGUGAAAUGCGUAGAUAUUAGGAGGAACACCAGUGGCGAAGGCGGCUUACUGGACUGUAACUGACGUUGAGGCUCGAAAGCGUGGGGAGCAAACAGGAUUAGAUACCCUUGUAGUC